rnacentral:rRNA from 1 species
UACGUAGGGGGCGAGCGUUGUCCGGAUUCAUUGGGCGUAAAGAGCUCGUAGGCGGCUUGGCAAGUCGGGUGUGAAAUCUCUGGGCUUAACUCAGAGAGGCCACUCGAUACUGCUAUGGCUAGAGUCCGGUAGGGGACCAUGGAAUUCCUGGUGUAGCGGUGAAAUGCGCAGAUAUCGAGAGACACCGGUGGCGAAGGCGGUGGUCUGGGCCGGCACUGACGCUGAGGAGCGAAAGCGUGGGGAGCGAACAGG